rnacentral:rRNA from 1 species
CCAAUAGCGUAUAUUAAAGUUGUUGCAGUUAAAAAGCUCGUAGUUGAAUUUCGGGAUCAGUUGGUCGGUCGUGCCUCGGUACGUACUGGUCAAAUUGAUUCCUACCUUCUGACGAACCACGAUGUCAUUAAUUUGGUGUCGCGGGAAAUCAGGACUGUUACUUUGAAAAAAUUAGAGUGUUUAAAGCAGGCUCGCGCUUGAAUACAUUAGCAUGGAAUAAUGAAAUAGGACGUUUGAUUCUAUUUUGUUGGUUUCUAGGAUCGACGUAAUGAUUAAUAGGGAUAGUUGGGGGCAUUAGUAUUCAAUUGUCAGAGGUGAAAUUCUUGGAUUUAUUGAAGACUAACUACUGCGAAAGCAUUUGCCAAGGAUGUUUUCAUUAAUCAAGAACGAAAGUUAGGGGAUCGAAGACGAUCAGAUACCGUCAUAGUCUUAACCAUAAACUAUGCCGACUAGGGAUCGGAUGAUGUUAAUUUUUUAAUGACUCAUUCGGCGCCUUACG